CCUCUUAAAUAUAUUCAAACCUCACCAACUCACCCACCCUUCCCUCUCUCUCUCUUACACACACACACACACACACACACUGUUUCUUCAUAACUUCCAUUGAUGAAUCAUGAUCAUGCAUGAAGGUCAAUAGUGUUCAUGCACAAAAUUCUUGCUAUAUGAUUCAGAUAUAUGGGUUUGUAUGGGUCUGGUGUUGCCUUGGACUAGCUGAUCUGCUACUCUUUGUUUCACAGCUAAAUAUCCUUGCAACUCUGCCCAUUCGGAAUCAACUGCGCUAAAUAUUUCAACGAAAACAUGACACAAGGGUUGCGGCCGAUGUUCCGGAAACGAUGGCGGCCGCUGCAGGUGAAGCAAAUGGCUGAUGUUUUCAACUGCAUUUCUUCCAAAAUCUUUCCUUUUUUCUACCUUGCCUCUCUUCUCCUACAUUAGCUUCUCAUCCUCGUGAUAUUGGCGGCACGGCUCAAUCUCUUCCUUUUUUUUUAUUAUUUUUAUUUUGGUUUCUUCGGUUUUAUCUAAUUGGAUAAUAUAUCCAUGCUAACCUCUUCAGCUUUGUGGUAUUGUUUCAUGAAUGUUUAAUUUUUCCAGCAUUA